AUAAGAUAACCUCAUCACAUACCAAAACCAAAAUUUGGUAGCCAUACCAAUGGCUAACCAUACAUUCAUUUCACAUUAACAUUUACUUUACUAGCUUAUACAUGUCAUUGAUUUUCAAAAUAAAGUUUCUUUAUAUACCGAGAUCUUGAGGUUGAUAGUGUGAUGCGUCUCUGACCAAAUCCAACCCCCGAGCUCUUAACACUACAAAACAAGGGAAAAGGAAACAGGGUAAGCACUUUGUGCUUAAUAAGCUCAUGUAACAAGAAUUAUACUUACCUAAUAUUUUCAAUACAAUGAAAUAAACAUUCAUACAUCCAUUCAAUACAUUAUUCUCCUAACAUGCACAAACUCAACAUUUAAGUUAGUUCAAUAAUUCCAUGUAUUAAUAAUAUAUAUAUCACAAUUGAUGAGCUCAUCAAUACCAUGAUUUUCAUUCCCUUGUUAUUUUUUCAUAUUUAUCCCAUUGAACUUCUCAGAAUUUCGAUGGAUUUUCAGGGGUACACUUUAGUGUACAAAUCCGGGUCCGUCAAUUCAUAUUCAUGUGCGCAUAUUUCUAUUUCAGAGAGCACACUCUCGCGAACCUCAUCCUUACAGCGGGAUUACCUGUCCAGGCUAAAUCCCCUGUAAUAUAAACUCAUAGAGUAUUGUCAGGAUUACCAGUUCAGGCUAAAUCCCCUGCAAUGACAAUUACUCUAAUAAGCUUGGAUUUGAGUUACCAGUUCAGGCUAAAUUCAGACCCUAAUUCGGAUUACCCGUCCGGGCUAAAUCCAUUUUCCACAUAUUCUUUGGGAGGGCUAUAUCAGGAUAGGAUCACCCGUCCGUGCUAGAUCCUUUUUACCGUCAAUUCCUUUUCAGAGAUCCAUCGAAUUUUCCUUUCAUUCAACUUGGAUUUAUUUUCUCUUUUCAUCAAGAAUAUCAAUACUUCAUCAAUUAUCAUACAAUAAACAUCCAAAUCAUAUUCACAUCAAGAAAAAUAUAUUUCAAGCAUUUAAGAAUAUAAUUCAAGUUACACGAACUUACCUCGAUACUUGUUCGUAAACAAAAAUCUACUAAUCCCGAACUUUUUCUUUUCCUCGAUCUAGCUUCGUAUUUGAAUUUUAUGGAUCUAAAUAAAUAAAUUUAAUCAUUAAUCUAAUACAUUUCAUGUUCAUAUGUAACAUUCUCUAUAAUUCCAUUAUUAUUUAUAGUGCAUUCAAAGUUGUCUCAUUGUGUCAUAGUUACUAAAUUAUUUAUAUCUUGAGCUACGGAACUCCAAAUUAAGAUCCGCUAAUUUUCUCCAAAACUAGACUCACAUAUCUUCUUACCAUAAAAUUUUCAGAAUUUUUGGUUUAUCCAAUAAGUACAGUUUAUUCUUUAAAGUUUCUCAUGUUUCACUGUUCGACAGUUCCGACCCCUCUUCACUAAAAAUUAAUUAUCUUAUUGUACAGAAUUUGGAUGAUGUUCUCGCUUGUUUAUUUUGAAAAUAGACUCAUUAAGUAUUUUAAAUAUAUAAAUUUAAGCCCCUAAUUAUUUUUUUCCAAUUUUUGAUGAUUUUCCAAAGUUAGAACAGGGGAACCCGAAUUCAUUCUAAUCUUGUCUCACAAAAUCUAUUAUAUCUCAUGAUUUACAAUUCCAUUGCUUACAUCAUUUCUUUUAUAAGAAACUAGACUCAAUAAGCUUUAAUUUAAUAUUUUAUUCAUCCUCUAAUUCGAUCUCUACAAUUUUUGGUGAUUUUUCAAAAUUAGACUACUGCUGCUGUCCAAAACUGUUUUAGUGCAUGAUGUUAAUUACCAUUUUUCCCUAAGCUUUCAAUAAAUGAUAAUUUCAUCCCUGCUCAAUUAACCUCUCAAUUGAGCUGAUUUUUCUCAAUUAACACUUUAUCCCAUCACUUUAAACUACUUUAUAACCUUUGGAAAUCAGAAUUUUAGCACUAGACUUUAAUUCCAAACAUUUUCACAAUUAGGUCCUACAAAUCAAUUUCUAUUGAAAUUACCUAAUAAAAUCAUCUCAUAAACAAAUUAAAGCUUCAAUUUCAUGCUAUUUCAUCAUAAACUUCCAGCACAUAUUCAUAGCAACUUUCAAUUUCAUUCAUAAAAUCAAAAACUAAUGAAUUUAGUAAUAGGACCUAGUUGUAGAAGUCUUAGAAACACAAAAAUUACAAGAAAAAGGCAAAGAUUAACUCACUUGGUGCAAAAAUUAUGAAAAACCAGCUUGAAUAAACCCUUAGGACGUUUUUGGCUGAUGAGAAUGC
rnacentral:lncRNA from 1 species